AAUCUUCCCAAGGGAGAGGUAUGCUGUUCCCAAGGGAGCUACUCUGUGCAGAAUGCAGCUAGUGAAACCCUUUUGUCGAAGUCAUACAGUGGAUGUGCUUUUGCAUUUUCUGCAUACAGGUGACAGUGACUACAACAAGGUAGGAAAUCAUCCCCAAAGAGGAGGGAGACCAACAACAGCAUUAAUUCAGUGCACCAGAGUCCUUGGAACUGGUAUCCCGGAACACCAUUGCCUAUCAGCUUUCUGAGGAUUCUCUUGACACCAGGAGAGCUGUUAUAUUUAGAUGCUUAUCUGCUUUUGACUGCAGUGCAGUACUUGGGAAGAUGUCUUUCAUUUUGAGGC
rnacentral:lncRNA from 12 species